rnacentral:lncRNA from 1 species
GGAAUUUUAGCAUCAAAAGGAUUUAUUUUUAUUUUUAUUUUUAUUUUUAUUUUAUUUUUUUCUAAGAUAGGAAUGUAUGAAAAGGAGGUUGCUAGAAUUUUGAGGUGGUAGGUUUCAAGAUUAAUUUGGAAUUUUUGAUGCCACUUAUUAAAUUUUCAUGUUUUUAUGUUGAAAUUUUGAAAGAAGCUAGAUCUUGUUUUUAGCUUUGCAAUAAGUCUUAACAUGCAAAAAAAAGAGCUAUGACAAUAGAAAUCCAUGAAAAUUUGUAGAAAGGGGAUCAUUGGAAUUUUCAAGGCAGUAUGAUUCAAGACUAGUUUGGAAUUUUUUAUGAUUUUUCUUGUAUUUUUUUAUUUUUUAUUUGAGAUUUUCAAGGAAGUUGGAUCUUAUUUUUAGUUUUUCAAUAAGCUUUAAGAUUUAAGAAGAAGAUUUUUCACAAGGGAGAUCCAAGCUAAUUUAUAGAUAGAAAUUUUGAGGGCAGUGGCUAUUGUAAAUAGCUAUUUUUUUUUUUUGACUCUUAUUUUCUCAAAAUUU